CCUACGGGGUGCAGCAGUGGGGCAUAUUGCACAAUGGGGGAAACCCUGAUGCAGCGACGCCGCGUGAGUGAAGAAGUAUCUCGGUACGUAAAGCUCUAUCAGCAGGGAAGAAAAUGACGGUACCUGACUAAUACGCCCCGGCUAACUCCGUGCCAGCAGCCGCGGUAAUACGUAGGGGGCAAGCGUUAUCCGGAUUUACUGGGUGUAAAGGGAGCGUAGACGGCAGCACAAGUCUGGAGUGAACUCCCGGGGCUUAACCCCGGCACUGCUUUGGAAACGUUGCGGCUGGAGGGCAGGAGGGGUAAGCGGAAUUCCUAGUGUAGCGGUGAAAUGCGUAGAUAUUAGGAGGAACACAGGUGGCGAAGGCGGCUUACUGGACUGUAACUGACGUUGAGGCUCGAAAGCGUGGGGAGCAAACAGGAUUAGAUACCCCAGUAGUC
rnacentral:rRNA from 1 species